GAUGAACGCUGGCGGCGUGCCUAAUACAUGCAAGUCGAGCGAACAGACGAGGAGCUUGCUCCUCUGACGUUAGCGGCGGACGGGUGAGUAACACGUGGAUAACCUACCUAUAAGACUGGGAUAACUUCGGGAAACCGGAGCUAAUACCGGAUAAUAUAUUGAACCGCAUGGUUCAAUAGUGAAAGACGGUUUUGCUGUCACUUAUAGAUGGAUCCGCGCCGCAUUAGCUAGUUGGUAAGGUAACGGCUUACCAAGGCAACGAUGCGUAGCCGACCUGAGAGGGUGAUAGGCCACACUGGAACUGAGACACGGUCCAGACUCCUACGGGAGGCAGCAGUAGGGAAUCUUCCGCAAUGGGCGAAAGCAUGACGGAGCAACGCCGCGUGAGUGAUGAAGGUCUUCGGAUCGUAAAACUCUGUUAUUAGGGAAGAACAAAUGUGUAAGUAACUAUGCACGUCUUGGCGGUACCUAAUCAGAAAGCCACGGCUAACUACGUG
rnacentral:rRNA from 1 species